GACGAACGCUGGCGGCGUGCCUAACACAUGCAAGUCGAGCGGAGCGGCGGACGGGUGAGUAAUGCCUAGGAAUCUGCCUGGUAGUGGGGGACAACGUCCGGAAACGGGCGCUAAUAUCGCAUACUCUCAGAGUAGCCUAGGUCGGAUUAGCUAGUUGGUGGGGUAAAGGCCUAGCAAGGCGACGAGCCGUAACUGGUCUGAGAGGAUGAUCAGUCACACUGGAACUGAGACACGGACCAGACUCCUACGGGAGGCAGCAGUGGGGAAUAUUGGACAAUGGGCGAAAGCCGGAUCAAGCCAUGCCGCUUGUGUGAAGAAGGUCUACGGAUUGUAAAGCACUUUAAGUUGUGAGGCGUUACCAACAGAAUAAGCACCGGCUAACUACGUGCCAGCAGCCGCGGUAAUUC
rnacentral:rRNA from 1 species